AAAAAAAAAAAAAAAAAAAAGUUUCCCCUCCCUCAUCAACAAAAGCCCACCCUCUAAGAGACAUUCAAGCUGAACUAUCACAAUUCUUAAUCAGUUACAAUUUACAAACAGAUAAGUUUAAAAUAAACAAUUUACAAAAUUUUUGAAGCAUACCUUAACAUCUUGUUUUGCAGUUAAACAAUGGAAAAGUAUUUCUCCUACACUAAAAAAAAACUUGCUUACACACAACUGAAAAUAGAAUCUUACUUGAUAAUACAAAAGCUACCAUCAGAAGAAAUCCCUUCAGGAUCAUUAAGCCACUUCCUUUGCUCUGCAGUUUCUAUAGUAGUUUUAAAUUAUUAUUAAAUCACCUGAAAAAAAUUCCAAAAGAGAACCACACACUACCAUAUCCAAACAACUUUUGCAUUUCCCAUAAUUGUAGUUAAUGUCAGCCCAGUAGGCCAGACCAACCCCCAGUUCAAUACUUUCCUUCCCCAAAAGCUCUAUACUUUGAAGGAAAACAGAUACAGUAUCAAAUUAUGACACUUUCCUUGCCCAAAUUAAUGCACUGGUACACCCAGUGGCUCAUAUUUAACUUCCCCCAGCUUCCCAAUUCAAACUGGGGGGAAAAAAACUAAAUCAUUGGGAGUUACUUGCCAACUUGGAAGUUGAUAUUUCUUUACUUUUUCCAUUCUAAGACUUUAAGUUCUCUGGCAUGAGUUUAUCUGCAAUCAUAAACUAAACAAUUACCUAAACCCACCCCACCAAUCCCAACCGUAACAGGCCACUGCCAACUAAUUGCCAAUAUUUGCCCCUCCCCUUUAAUAAAACUUUUAAGAAGUCACAUUAUUGGAAAACUUAACUUCAACAUUUGGCCUACUCAAGCUCUUCUGAAGUUCUCCUGAGAUGACUGAAUAUGAACCAAAGCUGCACUGUGCUGUACUUUUCAGCUUCAACUGGGAAUACUCUUCCAAGGAUAAAAGCAGCUCCAGUCCCUGAAGGUGUUCGUGCCAACAGCACAGCGGUACACUCCUUCUCUAACCCAGUUUGUCAAUAGUACUAUAGCAUCUGUGGAAAAUCUUAGAAAAAAACAUUUUCUCCCCCACCCUCUCUCUUCCCUGUUAAGACCAUCCCAAAAUGCUUCAAGUAAAAAAUAACAAGUUUAAGGGGUUAAGCACUUUUAAAGUCUGAUUAAGGGGGUGGGGGGAAAAAAGAGUAACUACCAGCCAUUUCUCCAAUGGACAUCUCUUCCACAGACCUCAACGUGAGAACUGCUCUAGUUUCUAUAAACUGUAAACCUGUGGUGGUCUGAUUAUCCUGAUAUUGGAUUUUCUUGUUUUCUGUUACACCUUGAGUCAUUUGCCUUUAGGAUUCUAGACAGACCUAAGGGAAAAAGAACUGAAAACAUAUUUUGCCCCCACCCCCACAAAAAAAAAUACUGAAAACUCCCCCCCGCCUCAGUUACACAUCCAAACUCUACAUUUACAAAACGAAUUCAGGGUGAGGAAGUAAAAACAGGUCAUCUAUUCACAAAACUGAAAUACUUCAUUACCCCAACUAAACAUACAAACUGCUUACAGAUUUGCUGAAAUUGUCUCAAUUUGGCUAUCAAAUUCAUUUGGUUUUCCUCAAAUUCGUGUAAAAAAAAAAAACCCACAAACUUGCCAUCUACUAUUUCUCCAGGACUUGGCAGUCUGCCCUCAAAAGCUUCAGACAAGAUUCAUGAGUAUAAGCCUGAAAAAGAGAAACCUACAACACCCGGAAAUCGGCCUACGUCCCCAUAUAAAUCCCUUUACACCUCAGUACGAAACUCCCCCAUUAUAUUAGAAAAUAAAUAAAAGGUUACCAUAAGUAAGUUCCAGAAAAACAACAUAUUGCCGACCUCACGGAUUUUUACCAACCACUCGCUUUCCCUGUGGCCUUGGCACACUGGCAUGCUGGUCUAGGAUCCUCUACGCACAACGCCUGCUCGCCUCCUCCGUGUGGUUGCCAAGCCAAGCCGCCUGCUACCUUCAUCACCAAAUUGCACUCGCUCCUUCCUGGAAUCCUUUUUCCUAGCUUCACCACCAAAUCGUUAGCGCUCCUUCCUUCUUCCUAGCUUCCUUCACCAAAUCGCACUGGCUCCUGGACUCUUUUCCUAUCUUCACCACGAACUGCUGCUUGCUCGCUUGCUCCUCAGUCCUAGCUUCAUCAAACACUGGUUCCUGGAAUCCUGUCUGCUGCUGUCUUCCUAGAUUCACUGAAUCCACUUCUGUGUAGCACCUGGGUCAGCUGUCAAUUAAUGCUAGUCCUCAGGAUUUAAAAAAUAAUCUUAACUCAAAGUCCAAUGCAAAAACAUUAAGUUGGUAAUUACUCUUGAUCUUGAAUUACUUCCGUUACGAAAGUCCUUCACAUUUUUCAAACUAAGCUACUAUAUUUAAGGCCUUCCAAAUUCUUCUAACUCUUCCAAAAGCCUUCUGCCUUAGUUUUUUUUAAAUUACACCAGUCCUUUUAGUAGCUUUUUGAUGUGAUUUUUAACCAACUUCCCCUUCUAGCUUCAAGUAUUCUUCUAAAUUGGUUCUGGUCUACGUAAACACCCUCAUCUUCUCAAGCUUUACCUUCUAACUUCUGCACCACCAGAAAUUAAAUUGAUGGGCUUUUAAAAUAAAUUGGUUACCAAUAAUUUCCUCAUUUUUUCAGUGCUAUUUUAUCCAAUUUUUGGCUUUAUAUUUUUCUAUCUUCUAUACUUCUCCAAUACUUGUCUUAGCUUGUUUUUCAUUUUCUAUCUGAAACUCUUGACAAUAUUUUCAUUUUCUAUCUUGUUUCUAUCUUCCAAUUUUCUUCUAAGUUUGUACAUUUUGCCCUUAGCUUUUUGUUUCCUAGCUUGUCUUUUUUCUUCUGCUUCCUACUUUUCAGGUUUAAAUUUAUCUUUUUUCUUCUAAAAGUAUGUUUUUAUCUUCUAAUUUCCCUAUCUUCUCUAUUCUUUUCUUCGCCUUCCCGUACUUCUGUCUUCCAGUUUUCCACUUCAAACUUCUAUCUUCUCCAAAUUGUUUCAUCCUACCACUCCCAAUUAAUCUUUCCAUUUUCGUCUGCGUUUAGUAAAUGCGUUAACUAGGCUUUAAAUGACGCAAUUCUCCCUGCGUCAUGGAUUUCAAGGUCUUUUAAUCACCUUCGGUUUAAUCUCUUUUUAAAAGAUCGCCUUCAAAUUAUUUUAAUCACCUACAACUUUUAAACUAAACUUUAAGCUGUUUAAGUCACCUUCAUUUUAAUCUAAAAGCAUUGCCCUUCUAUUGGUAUUAAUUCGGGGCUCUGUAGUCCUUUCUCUCAAUUUUCUUUUAAAUACAUUUUUUACUCCAUGAAGAAGCUUCAUCUCAACCUCCGUCAUGUUUUAGAAACCUUUUAUCUUUUCCUUCCUCAUGCUACUCUUCUAAGUCUUCAUAUUUUCUCUUAAAAUCUUAAGCUAUUAAAAUUACGUUAAAAACUUAACGCUAAGCAAUAUCUUAGUAACCUAUUGACUAUAUUUUUUAAGUAGUUGUAUUAAUCUCUAUCUUUCAAAGAGAAAAAAACUUAUCUGCGGUUUCCUCAAGCUCCGCCUGCCCCCUCAGCAGAAGCCCCUGCGCUGGCUGCCUCAAUGCCUACCGCACAGCUCGGGCGAGGCGUAUUUAUAGACGGAGAACAACUCGCAUCACCGGAAUUCGAUCACCUUCCGCCGCCUUUGUGAGGGAGGCAAAAAGUAGUU
rnacentral:lncRNA from 1 species